UACGUAGGGGGGCAAGCGUUGUCCGGAUUUAUUGGGCGUAAAGAGCGUGUAGGCGGUCUGGUAGGUCCGUUGUGAAAACUCGAGGCUCAACCUCGAGACGCCGAUGGAAACCAUCAGACUAGAGUCCGGAAGAGGAGAGUGGAAUUCCUGGUGUAGCGGUGAAAUGCGCAGAUAUCAGGAAGAACACCCGUGGCUAAGGCGGCUCUCUAGUACGGUACUGGACGCUGAGACGCGAAAGCGUGGGAGCGAACAGG
rnacentral:rRNA from 1 species